GAUGAACGCUGGCGGCGUGCCUAAUACAUGCAAGUCGAGCGAACAGACGAGGAGCUUGCUCCUCUGACGUUAGCGGCGGACGGGUGAGUAACACGUGGAUAACCUACCUAUAAGACUGGGAUAACUUCGGGAAACCGGAGCUAAUACCGGAUAAUAUAUUGAACCGCAUGGUUCAAUAGUGAAAGACGGUUUUGCUGUCACUUAUAGAUGGAUCCGCGCCGCAUUAGCUAGUUGGUAAGGUAACGGCUUACCAAGGCAACGAUGCGUAGCCGACUUGAGAGGGGGAUCGGCCCAACGGGAAAUGAGACCCGGUCCAAACCCCCACGGGGGGCAGCAGUAGGAAAUCUCCCGAAAUGGGCGAAAGCCUGACGGAGCAACGCCCGGUGGGUGAUGAAGGUUUUCGGAUCGUAAAACUUUUUUAUUAGGGAAAAAAAAAUGUGUAAGUAACUAUGCACGUUUUGACGGUACCUAAUCAAAAAGCCCCGGCAAAAUACGG
rnacentral:rRNA from 1 species